ACAGGCUUAACACAUGCAAGUCGAGGGGCAGCAUGGUCUUAGCUUGCUAAGGCCGAUGGCGACCGGCGCACGGGUGAGUAACACGUAUCCAACCUGCCGUCUACUCUCGGACAGCCUUCUGAAAGGAAGAUUAAUACAAGAUGGCAUCAUGAGUCCACAUGUUCACAUGAUUAAAGGUAUUCCGGUAGACGAUGGGGAUGCGUUCCAUUAGAUAGUAGGCGGGGUAACGGCCCACCUAGUCUUCGAUGGAUAGGGGUUCUGAGAGGAAGGUCCCCCACAUUGGAACUGAGACACGGUCCAAACUCCUACGGGAGGCAGCAGUGAGGAAUAUUGGUCAAUGGGCGCAGGCCUGAACCAGCCAAGUAGCGUGAAGGAUGACUGCCCUAUGGGUUGUAAACUUCUUUUAUAAAGGAAUAAAGUCGGGUAUGCAUACCCGUUUGCAUGUACUUUAUGAAUAAGGAUCGGCUAACUCCGUGCCAGCAGCCGCGGUAAUACGGAGGAUCCGAGCGUUAUCCGGAUUUAUUGGGUUUAAAGGGAGCGUAGAUGGAUGUUUAAGUCAGUUGUGAAAGUUUGCGGCUCAACCGUAAAAUUGCAGUUGAUACUGGAUAUCUUGAGUGCAGUUGAGGCAGGCGGAAUUCGUGGUGUAGCGGUGAAAUGCUUAGAUAUCACGAAGAACUCCGAUUGCGAAGGCAGCCUGCUAAGCUGCAACUGACAUUGAGGCUCGAAAGUGUGGGUAUCAAACAGGAUUAGAUACCCUGGUAGUCCACACGGUAAACGAUGAAUACUCGCUGUUUGCGAUAUACAGCAAGCGGCCAAGCGAAAGCGUUAAGUAUUCCACCUGGGGAGUACGCCGGCAACGGUGAAACUCAAAGGAAUUGACGGGGGCCCGCACAAGCGGAGGAACAUGUGGUUUAAUUCGAUGAUACGCGAGGAACCUUACCCGGGCUUAAAUUGCAGAUGAAUUACGGUGAAAGCCGUAAGCCGCAAGGCAUCUGUGAAGGUGCUGCAUGGUUGUCGUCAGCUCGUGCCGUGAGGUGUCGGCUUAAGUGCCAUAACGAGCGCAACCCUUGUUGUCAGUUACUAACAGGUUCCGCUGAGGACUCUGACAAGACUGCCAUCGUAAGAUGUGAGGAAGGCGGGGAUGACGUCAAAUCAGCACGGCCCUUACGUCCGGGGCUACACACGUGUUACAAUGGGGGGUACAGAGGGCCGCUACCACGCGAGUGGAUGCCAAUCCCAAAAACCUCUCUCAGUUCGGACUGGAGUCUGCAACCCGACUCCACGAAGCUGGAUUCGCUAGUAAUCGCGCAUCAGCCACGGCGCGGUGAAUACGUUCCCGGGCCUUGUACACACCGCCCGUCAAGCCAUGGGAGCCGGGGGGUACCUGAAGUGCGUAACCGCGAGGAGCGCCCUAGGGUAAAACUGGUGACUGGGGCU
rnacentral:rRNA from 1 species